CGAACCGUCCGAACGUUAUUCGGAAUCACUGGGGCUUAAAGGGUGCGUAGGCGGCGCGGAAAGUUGGGUGUGAAAUCCCUCGGCUCAACCGAGGAACUGCGCCCAAAACUACCGUGCUCGAGGAAGAUAGAGGUGAGCGGAACUUAGGGUGGAGCGGUGAAAUGCGUUGAUAUCCUAAGGAACACCGGUGGCGAAAGCGGCUCACUGGAUCUUUUCUGACGCUGAGGCACGAAAGCUAGGGUAGCGAACGGGAUU
rnacentral:rRNA from 1 species